CCUACGGGGGGCUGCAGUGGGGAAUAUUGCACAAUGGGCGCAAGCCUGAUGCAGCCAUGCCGCGUGUGUGAAGAAGGCCUUCGGGUUGUAAAGCACUUUCAGCGGGGAGGAAGGCGGUGAGGUUAAUAACCUCAUCGAUUGACGUUACCCGCAGAAGAAGCACCGGCUAACUCCGUGCCAGCAGCCGCGGUAAUACGGAGGGUGCAAGCGUUAAUCGGAAUUACUGGGCGUAAAGGGCACGCAGGCGGUCUGUCAAGUCGGAUGUGAAAUCCCCGGGCUCAACCUGGGAACUGCAUUCGAAACUGGCAGGCUAGAGUCUUGUAGAGGGGGGUAGAAUUCCAGGUGUAGCGGUGAAAUGCGUAGAGAUCUGGAGGAAUACCGGUGGCGAAGGCGGCCCCCUGGACAAAGACUGACGCUCAGGUGCGAAAGCGUGGGGAGCAAACAGGAUUAGAUACCCGGGUAGUC
rnacentral:rRNA from 1 species